GGCAACGUGGCGGAGUGGUUAUCGCGACAGCCUCGAAGUGUCGUAAGCUGUUUCCUUCGGGAGCGCAGGUUCGAAUCCUGCCGUUGUCG
rfam:Fusarium oxysporum f. sp. cubense race 4 unplaced genomic scaffold scaffold6, whole genome shotgun sequence.